rnacentral:rRNA from 1 species
GAUGAACGCUGGCUACAGGCUUAACACAUGCAAGUCGAGGGGAAACGACGGGGAAGCUUGCUUCCCCGGGCGUCGACCGGCGCACGGGUGAGUAACGCGUAUCCAACCUGCCUCUGACUGAGGGAUAACCCGUCGAAAGUCGGCCUAAUACCUCAUGGCAUCGUCUGCGGGCAUCCAACGACGAUUAAAGAUUUCAUCGGUCAGGGAUGGGGAUGCGUCUGAUUAGCUUGUUGGCGGGGUAACGGCCCACCAAGGCUACGAUCAGUAGGGGUCCUGAGAGGAAGGUCCCCCACAUUGGAACUGAGACACGGUCCAAACUCCUACGGGAGGCAGCAGUGAGGAAUAUUGGUCAAUGGGCGAGAGCCUGAACCAGCCAAGUAGCGUGCAGGAUGACGGCCCUAUGGGUUGUAAACUGCUUUUAUGCGGGGAUAAAGUGAGGGACGUGUCCUUCAUUGCAGGUACCGCAUGAAUAAGGACCGGCUAAUUCCGUGCCAGCAGCCGCGGUAAUACGGAAGGUCCGGGCGUUAUCCGGAUUUAUUGGGUUUAAAGGGAGCGUAGGCCGUGGAUUAAGCGUGUUGUGAAAUGCAGGUGCUCAACGUCUGCACUGCAGCGCGAACUGGUUCACUUGAGUGUGCGCAACGCAGGCGGAAUUCGUCGUGUAGCGGUGAAAUGCUUAGAUAUGACGAAGAACUCCGAUUGCGAAGGCAGCUUGCGGGAGCACAACUGACGCUGAAGCUCGAAAGUGCGGGUAUCGAACAGG